UAAAAAAUAAGCUAAUUAAGCUAGUGGGUUCAUACCUCAUCAAUAAAGGUUUUAAUCCUUUUUUUUUAA
rnacentral:tRNA from 2 species